UCGCCUACGGGGCGCAGCAGUGAGGAAUAUUGGUCAAUGGGAGAGAUCCUGAACCAGCCAAGCCGCGUGAGGGAAGACGGCCCUAUGGGUUGUAAACCUCUUUUGUCGGAGAACAAAACCCGGGACGUGUCCCGGACUGCGUGUAUCCGAAGAAAAAGCAUCGGCUAACUACGUGCCAGCAGCCGCGGUAAUACGUAGGUGGCAAGCGUUAUCCGGAAUUAUUGGGCGUAAAGAGGGAGCAGGCGGCAGCAAAGGUCUGUGGUGAAAGACUGAAGCUUAACUUCAGUAAGCCAUAGAAACCAGGC
rnacentral:rRNA from 1 species